UGAUCAAAACAUGUGACGUCACCGUGGCUUCUCCUAUAUCGCAAGUUGGGAAUAUAUAGCUUCCGGAUUUGUUAUAGGUUCUGAAUUUAAUAUUGUUUCAAAUACAUUUAACUAAAACAUGUUUAGUUUUUAAUAAUCAGUUAUGGAUUUUUAAUGGUCGCUAAGGUCACCGACAACUGUGCUGACUAAAGAUUUCUGUGACGAACUUGAAGUUGCAGAGUUCUGUUGUGUUCGACUUUGUGCAGAGCUGAAAUGACCUUACUACCCGAUGAGAAUGAACAUCCCAUAUCCCUUGACAACUUAAGUAAUGACUCUACAGGCCCAUUAUUGAUGCUGUGCACUGCACUGUGUGCCCUCCCUGAGAAGUUUCUGCUGAAAGUUGUGUGUCUUGUUUUUUGACACCCCGCAACACACGGUGCUGGUAUGUUCAUGCAGAGACACAGGAGCCGGAAGUUUUGAACCCCAAUGGGCAUUUUCGUCAGACCGAUCUGCACUGACACAUUUGGCUGAGCUGCCUUACGACCUCGACCCUUUCGCUCUGGAUUGUCCACCUCUGUGUACAAGUUGUACAUACCAGAGUGGUAUGUACAAAUAUUACAGCACAAACGCUGCCGAGUGCAUACACCCCUUCUUUCUUCCGCCGGGAAGUCCCACAUCAGUUGACCAUGGCAUUCUGGAGCCAAAGUGCGGUGGUCGUUGUGUGUUCUAUUCAUCAUUUGCUCCAGUUUGCCCAUGUGGAGGACCCUGUAUGUGUCGGCCUCUGAUCUGUUGAUAAAACCCAAAUAGAAGCCCAUAAAUACUAGCACUACCUCAUUUCUUAAUGUUUUCUUGUAUCUAGCAUUUUCAUUGAUAGAUUAUCUCCCUUGGACUGUUGGACUGUUUUCACCAGUGCUACCAUGCCAAGUUGACAUUGUUUGCAAGCCAUAUUUUUCAAAUCUGACUCUUUGUGAUUGUGUUUGUAAUCACAUAAAUAGUGUAUUUAUCCAACAAAAAUGUGAUUUGCAUGCUACAAGGUAUGUAAUGUGUAACUUUCAUAUAAAAGGUAUAAUUUAA